GCAAUUCAGAGGCCCCAAUUAAUGUUUUAGCUUUUAUCCUGUUAGCAUAAGCCAUUAUAUAGUCACUUAUUAGUCUGAUAAUGCUAAUCUCUGCUACCGCUAGCACUAUGACAUUUUCGAAGUAGCACUAUGCUAAUUGUAGGGAACCUCCUCACACUUGUUUGAUACAUACAACUAAAUCUCAUACAGUCGUCUAUUACAAUUAUAUCUCUCUCUCUCGCUAUAUAUUAUAGAGAGAGAUCUAUAUAUCCUUAUCUUAUGUACAGUUUAACAGCAAAUCCUUCUGUAAACAUUUCUUGUCUGUUAGCAUAGCGCUUAUAUUAGCACGUUAUAGCUGCAGAUCUCUUGGUCAUGUCUACCUCCAAAGCAAUGCUCACAAGAAUUCAUUAAUCGAGCACUUAAUUUUACACUAUGUAGUACAAUCCGCUUGGAAUAUUACAAUUAGAAGGAUGCUAAAGCUAAAGAACAUGUACAUUUCUUUACUGUAUAAGUCGCAGCACCUGAUAAAAUUUUUCCAGUAGUUCGCAGGUUGGACUACGAUGUUGCGUUUCAGUUAGCGGUUAACGCUAAGUGGACUCACAGUAUAAUUUUUGCCUCGAAGAGUUUUAUUCUUAGCAAUUUACCAACACAUCUGAGGUAAAUAUUGAUGUUCACAGCACUUUCGACCGGUUUUCACGGCCACUGUGGCUUUCUAUCAUCUGCACGAAGCACUUGGCUAACUAAAUCAUUAUCUUUAGCUCACAGGUUGUGACAUAAUGUUGAAUUUCAGUCAGCGGUCAACGCUAAGCGGAUUCACAGUAUAAUUAUUGCCUCAGAGUUUUUUUCUUAGCAAUUUACCAACACAUCUGAGGUAAAUAUUGAUGUUCCCAACAGUUCUGACUGGUUUCCACAGUCACUAUGGCUUUCAAUCAUCUGUAUAAAAUGUUCAGCUAACUAAAUCAUUAUGUUUGGCUCACAGGUUGUGACAAUGUUGAAUUUCAGUUAGCGGUUAAUGGGUUCACAGUAUAAGUUUUGCCUCGGUGAGUUUUUUCUUAGCAAUUUACCAACACAUCUGAGGUAAAUGUUCAUAUUUCGGAUAUUUAUAUCUUGUUUCCACUGUCACUUUGUCGUGUUAAACACUUAACGUGGAUACGUAAGCUAUCCAAACUGUUAGCCUCAUUUGUACUAACAGGAAGUCCUGUCCCUAGCAAUUUACCAGCAUAUCUGAGGUAACCGUUGACGUUCACAGCACUUUGGACUGGUUUCCGCAGCCACGGCGGGUUUGUAUCAUCUCUAUAAAAGACUUAGCUAGCUAAAUCAUUAUCUUUAGUCACUAGUUAGCGUAUACUCCGAGUACAUAUUACCUAGUUGCUUAGCAACAGCGUUCUCACGAGUGUAUCUGCUUCAGUGGCGAGCCUGAAAGUUUCAUUUGAACGCCUGAAAAGAUGACGUUAAAUUUUAAUAUUCGGAAUGUAUUAUUUAGUAGUUUUUGUAAGAAUAAAUCGUUUAAAGGGGUUUAAUGUUUAUUAAAAACUGUAUUUUAUUUGAAACAGCUCGAGUGUCUGGUUCUUCAUGCAAGUCAGCACCCAAAAUCUCUCUCACACACUACACACACACACACACACACACACACACUACACCCCCCUAUUGGUUGUGAGUCUCAAAGUCAAACUCCAGAGAUCAGAGCACGAGAGGGGAUAAAGAAUGAAAGAACAGGAAAGGGAAGAGACGAAGAGCAAAGAAGGAGACAGAAAGGGAUCCCCUUAUACCCCCCUUGCAAGUCCUCCAUCCCUCUGUGUGUGUGUGUGUGUGUGUUGGCCUGGACUGAGGCCCCAUUCUCUACACAUGAGAGCGCGAGGCUUGAGCGGCAGAGCAGAAACAGCAG
ensembl:lncRNA